GCCCUCCUGAUGUCUCACAUCUCCUCCACCAUCAGAAACCCCGACACAUAUAACAGUUUUAAACACCAGCUAGAAAGUUCUGGAAUCCAACAUGAGGUCAUGACAGGACCAGUGACCCAUGUGUUCUUUUACAACAGACAAGCCACCAUAGAGAUGAUCAAACUCUACAUAUAAUAAUGGCAUCCUAUUCCCAUUGUAAGUGCACUACUUUUGACCAGGGUCCAUAAGGCUGUGGUCAAUAGUAGUGCACUAGAUAGGGAAUAGGGUGCCAUUUGGGAUGCACUCAAUAUGAGACCAAGCCAGAACCAGAUGUGUAUUACUGUGUAAUAAAGUCUUUAUUUACAUCAAGAUA